AGGAAAAGAAACUAACUAGGAUUCCCUUAGUAACGGCGAGUGAACCGGGAUGAGCUCAAAUUUGAAAUCUGGCGUCUUUCAGGCGUCCGAGUUGUAAUCUAUAGAGGCGUUUUCCGCGCCGGACCGCGUCCAAGUCUCUUGGAAUAGAGUAUCAAAGAGGGUGACAAUCCCGUACUUGACGCGACAACCGGUGCUCUGUGAUACGUUCUCAAUGAGUCGAGUUGUUUGGGAAUGCAGCUCUAAAUGGGUGGUAAAUUCCAUCUAAGGCUAAAUAUUGGCGAGAGACCGAUAGCGAACAAGUACCGUGAGGGAAAGAUGAAAAGCACUUUGGAAAGAGAGUUAAACAGCACGUGAAAUUGUUAAAAGGGAAACGAUUGAAGUCAGUCGUGUGGGAAGUAUUCAGCCGUCUUUGGGGGUGUAUUUGCUUCUCACGGGUCAACAUCAGUUUGAUCCGGUAGAAAAAGGCGGGAAGAAGGUGGCACCUCGGGUGUGUUAUAGCUUCCUGUCAUAUGUGCCGGACCAGACUGAGGAACGCAGGCUUGCAGCAAUGCCGGGGUUCGCCCACGUACAA
rnacentral:rRNA from 1 species